ACGUGGCACACGGCUCAGUAACACGUAGUCAACAUAACCAGAGGACGUGGAUAAACUCGGGAAACUGAGGCUAAACCGCGAUAGACCAAGAUACCUGGAAUGGUUUUUGAUCAAAAUCUAUAUGGCCUUUGGAUUGGACUGCGACCGAUCAGGCUGUUGGUGAGGUAAUGGCCCACCAAACCUGUAACCGGUACGGGCUCUGAGAGGAGGAGCCCGGAGAUGGGUACUGAGAAAAGGACCCAGGCCCUAUGGGGCGCAGCAGGCGCGAAACCUCUGCAAUAGGCGAAAGCCUGACAGGGUUAUUCUGAGUGACUUUCGCUAAGAAAGUCUUUUGACAUCUCUAAAAAUGGUGUAGAAUAAGGGGUGGGCAAGUCUGGUGUCAGCCGCCGCGGUAAUACCAGCACCCCGAGUGGUCGGGACGAUUAUUGGGCCUAAAGCAUCCGUAGCCGGUUUUACAAGUCCUCCGUUAAAUCCAACUGCUUAACAGAUGGGCCGCGGAGGAUACUAUAAGACUAGGAGGCAGGAGAGGCAAGCGGUACUCAGUGGGUAGGGGUAAAAUCCGUUGAUCCAUUGAAGACCACCAGUGGCGAAGGCGGCUUGCCAGAAUGCGCUCGACGGUGAGGGAUGAAAGCUGGGGGAGCAAACCGGAUUAGAUACCCGGGUAGUCCCAGCUGUAAACGAUGCAGACUCGGUGAUGGACUAGCUUAAUGCUGGUCCAGUACCGCAGGGAAGCCGUUAAGUCUGCCGCCUGGGUAGUACGGUCGCAGGACUGAAACUUAAAGGAAUUGGCGGGGGAGCACCACAAGGGGUGAAGCCUGCGGUUCAAUUGGAUUCAACGCCGGG
rnacentral:rRNA from 1 species